UACGUAGGGUGCGAGCGUUGUCCGGAAUUAUUGGGCGUAAAGAGCUCGUAGGCGGUGUGUCACGUCGUUCGUGAAAACCUGCAGCUUAACUGUGGGCGUGCGGUCGAUACGGGCAUCACUGGAGUUCGGCAGGGGAGACUGGAAUUCCUGGUGUAGCGGUGAAAUGCGCAGAUAUCAGGAGGAACACCGGUGGCGAAGGCGGAUCUCUGGGCCGAUACUGACGCUGAGGAGCGAAAGCGUGGGGGAGCGAACAGG
rnacentral:rRNA from 1 species